UGUUAUUGAGAAGUCGUGGGUGCUCGU
rnacentral:sRNA from 1 species